rnacentral:rRNA from 1 species
GAUGAACGCUGGCGGCGUGCUUAACACAUGCAAGUCGAACGAUCAAGCCCAGCUUGCUGGGUGGUUUAGUGGCGAACGGGUGAGUAACACGUGAGUAACCUGCCCUUAACUCUGGGAUAGCCUGGGUCACUGGGCCUAAUACCGGACCGGAGCGUCCACUGCACGGUGGGGGUUGGAAGGAUUUAUCGGUUUUGGAUGGACUCGCGGCCUAUCAGCUUGUUGGUGAGGUAAUGGCUCACCAAGGGGACGACGGGUAGCCGGCCUGAGAGGGUGACCGGCCACACUGGGACUGAGACACGGCCCAGACUCCUACGGGAGGCAGCAGUGGGGAAUAUUGCACAAUGGGCGCAAGCCUGAUGCAGCGACGCCGCGUGAGGGAUGACGGCCUUCGGGGUGUAAACCUCUUUCAGUAGGGAAGAAGCGAAAGUGACGGUACCUGCAGAAGAAGCACCGGCUAACUACGUG